AUUUCAUGUCGGGUGCUAUACAUGCAGUCGAGCGAUGGAUUAAGAGCUUGCUCUUAUGAAGUUAGCGGCGGACGGGUGAGUAACACGUGGGUAACCUGCCCAUAAGACUGGGAUAACUCCGGGAAACCGGGGCUAAUACCGGAUAACAUUUUGAACCGCAUGGUUCGAAAUUGAAAGGCGGCUUCGGCUGUCACUUAUGGAUGGACCCGCGUCGCAUUAGCUAGUUGGUGAGGUAACGGCUCACCAAGGCAACGAUGCGUAGCCGACCUGAGAGGGUGAUCGGCCACACUGGGACUGAGACACGGCCCAGACUCCUACGGGAGGCAGCAGUAGGGAAUCUUCCGCAAUGGACGAAAGUCUGACGGAGCAACGCCGCGUGAGUGAUGAAGGCUUUCGGGUCGUAAAACUCUGUUGUUAGGGAAGAACAAGUGCUAGUUGAAUAAGCUGGCACCUUGACGGUACCUAACCAGAAAGCCACGGCUAACUACGUGCCAGCAGCCGCGGUAAUACGUAGGUGGCAAGCGUUAUCCGGAAUUAUUGGGCGUAAAGCGCGCGCAGGUGGUUUCUUAAGUCUGAUGUGAAAGCCCACGGCUCAACCGUGGAGGGUCAUUGGAAACUGGGAGACUUGAGUGCAGAAGAGGAAAGUGGAAUUCCAUGUGUAGCGGUGAAAUGCGUAGAGAUAUGGAGGAACACCAGUGGCGAAGGCGACUUUCUGGUCUGUAACUGACACUGAGGCGCGAAAGCGUGGGGAGCAAACAGGAUUAGAUACCCUGGUAGUCCACGCCGUAAACGAUGAGUGCUAAGUGUUAGAGGGUUUCCGCCCUUUAGUGCUGAAGUUAACGCAUUAAGCACUCCGCCUGGGGAGUACGGCCGCAAGGCUGAAACUCAAAGAAUUGACGGGGCCCGCAACAAGCGGUGGAGCAUGUGGGUUUAAUUCGAAGCAACCGCGAAGAACCUUACCAAGGUCUUGACAAUCCUUCUGACAACCCUAAGAGAGAUAGGGCUUCUCCUUCGGGAGCAGAAGUGACAGGUGGUGCAUGGUUGUCGUCAGCUCGUGUCGUGAAUGUGGGUUAAGUCCCGCAACGAGCCGCAACCCUGAUCUAGUGCAUCAUUUAGUGGGCACUCUAGUGACUGCCGGUGUGAACAAACGGAGGAAGUGGGGGAUAGAACGUCAUCACUCAUGGCCUUAAGACCCUGGCCCUAACAAACGUGUCCAAUUGACGGUACAAAGCCUGCUGAACCGCAGAGUGGGAGCAUUAUCUCGAUAAAAACGCGU
rnacentral:rRNA from 1 species